CUUCUAGGUGGGAAGUGGGUGUUACAGGUAGAAAGAAUCAUGUAUGUCUCCACCUCCACUCAGCCUGGCUUAAAAUAGAGUGCAGGCAUCCUCCCCUGUGUGAGAGCUGUUUAAGAAAGGAGCCUCCCCUGGGCUGUCCUAGCCUCACAUUU